rnacentral:lncRNA from 1 species
GUGGACUGACGGGUGGGAUUGGAAGAAAGGAAAGAAAAGAAUAGAAUAAGUGAAAGGGAUCCAAGAGGGAGAGCUGCUUUGGCAGCUGGUGAGAGACAGGUCAGAAACAAAAAGAAUAAUAAAAAGAAGUAGAGAGAUGCUGCCUUUGGGCAGCUGGCAAAGGAGAUUGACGCGGGAGGAGAGAGAGGCAGCAAAGCUGCCAGCAAAAGGAAAAUAAGAAAAGAAGACAGCUGCCUUGCGUUGGGGGCAGCGUGAGAAAAAGAGAGAAGCAGAGAGCCUUGGGGAAAAAGAGGUCAGAGUGCGACAGCCAGGGAAGAAGAGGAGCACAGAGGCAGAGGGCUUCACUCCGUUUUUAUUGGUGUUAUCUUCUCAAACUCAUGAUUUACGUUUGGUUUAAUUUGUUAAUAAUGUGUAACUAAUUUAUUUUGGCUAGAGGUUAAUUCGAAACCAUGAAUAUAUUUGUAAUAUGAAUUGAUUACCUUCGGUUAUGAUUUCAUAAGUUGUGAUUUCAAUUUACUUAUCCGUUCGUAUAAAAACUGAUUUGUGUAUGUUGGUUGAGAGU